rnacentral:lncRNA from 1 species
GGGGCUGGCCAUCGGAGUUCCGUGGAACCUCCGUCCACUGGUUCCCACGCGCCUACGCGCCGCCGUGCACGGUGGUCGGAGGGCUAAAAACCCUUCCCUUUUCCAGCAUGAUACAGGUAACUUUCCUUCCUUUUUUUAAAACUCAACAAUCUCUGCUUAGAGUGAUUUGUAUAUGCAUGCUAAAAUAAGAACAAGGUACAAAUAAAUCACCUUUUAGGGACCGUUUGUAUUUCUCUGAAUGAAUGUCAGUAUAUUUUCCCUAUUCUCUUAAAAAAAUCCGCCCUUAUUACAUUGGUUUUUUGGGCUUUUAUAGCCAUUAUUUAUUACAAAAAUUGGGAAAGAAAUCUUUGAUUUCUUUCUAUUUCUUGCUCACUAUAUCUUUGACCUUGAUUCGCUGAGAUAUUUUUUAGUUUCCUUUUUCUUGCUCUUCGUAUCUGCUGUGUUUCCUUUUCUUGCAGGUAUCCCAAUGAUCUCGGCGUUAACGGUGGUGCCAAGGCUAGAAGGGAGGUCUGAGAUUGCGGUGCUUGGACGGUCACGAGAGGGACGGACGCAUUGAUGGCGCGUCAGUAUGCAUUGAUGGCCUCGAUCUGGGGAGUUGCACCGACGCUCCCCGAAACUUCCAGAAACUGUUGCGGCGCGAGGGGAAAGAGCUAGGGUUGAAAACCCUAGCUGAUAAUUUUGGGUUUUUGGGCCAAGGUUGUAAUUGUAAUGGGUCAAGGGUAUAAACGGGUUAAGGGAUAGUUUAAAGGGUAUUUGGGCUACUGAGUGUAGGUUUUAACUUUUGGGCUGUAAAGGGACUUUUUAACAAAUAAACAUUUAUUUAUUUUAAUUUUGGUUUUGGGUUUCAA